rnacentral:rRNA from 1 species
UGCCAGACUCCUACGGGAGGCAGCAGUGGGGAAUAUUGCACAAUGGGGGAAACCCUGAUGCAGCGACGCCGCGUGAGCGAUGAAGUAUUUCGGUAUGUAAAGCUCUAUCAGCAGGGAAGAAGAUGACGGUACCUGACUAAGAAGCCCCGGCUAACUACGUGCCAGCAGCCGCGGUAAUACGUAGGGGGCAAGCGUUAUCCGGAUUUACUGGGUGUAAAGGGAGCGUAGACGGCGAUGCAAGCCAGAUGUGAAAGCCCGGGGCUCAACCCCGGGACUGCAUUUGGAACUGUGUGGCUGGAGUGUCGGAGAGGCAGGCGGAAUUCCUAGUGUAGCGGUGAAAUGCGUAGAUAUUAGGAGGAACACCAGUGGCGAAGGCGGCCUGCUGGACGAUGACUGACGUUGAGGCUCGAAAGCGUGGGGAGCAGACAGGAUUAGAUACCCCGGUA